AGAGUAUGUGGGUUAUCUAUUUUUCAAUGUGAAUUUGUUAUUUUAUAGUCUUUAUAUAAUUCAGUACUAAGAACUUUGUGGAUAGGAACUCUUUCAGUCUUGAAUGCCUUUUACUACAUGUCUUGAAUUGCUUUAUGAAUCUUCUCCCAAAAGGAAUACACAGCUUUACAAUACCAAUAUAAAUGCAUAAAUGCUACUAAUUCAGUU